GAUGAACGCUGGCGGCGUGCUUAACACAUGCAAGUCGAACGGAAAGGCUCCUGCUUUCAGGGGUACUCGAGUGGCGAACGGGUGAGUAACACGUGGGUGAUCUGCCCUGCACUUUGGGAUAAGCCUGGGAAACUGGGGCUAAUACCGGAUAGGACGUUGUUUUGCAUGCCGUUGUGUAAAGAUUUUUCGGUGUGGGAUGAGCUCGCGGCUUAUCAGCUUGUUGGUGGGGUAUUGGCCUACCAAGGCGUUGACGGGUAGCCGGCCUGAGAGGGUGUACGGCCACAUUGGGACUGAGAUACGGCCCAGACUCCUACGGGAGGCAGCAGUGGGGAAUAUUGCACAAUGGGCGCAAGCCUGAUGCAGCGACGCCGCGUGCGGGAUGACGGCCUUCGGGUUGUAAACUCCUUUCGCUAGGGACGAAGCGCGAGUGACGGUACCUGGUGAAGAAGCACCGGCUAACUACGUG
rnacentral:rRNA from 1 species